rnacentral:lncRNA from 1 species
CCAUCUUACAUACUCUUUUGCAAUAAUCUUGCUACUCAUCUACUGAGACAUGGAGUCUCUCUUCCUUUUGAAUCCUGGCUGGCCUGUGGUAAGUUCAUCCAACAGUAUUGGUGGAAGUGAUGCUUUGUAACUUCUGAGGCUGGGCUUUAAAAGAUCUUUAGCUCUUGCCUUUGUUGUUUGGAACCCAGCUACCAUGCUGUGAAGAAGCCCAAGUAGCCCCAUGAAGAACCCAUGUGAAGGAGAACCAAGUGCUCUGGCUAACAACCCCAGCCAAGCUCCUGCAUGUCAACUGACAGUCACAACUGAACGCUUUGAGGGUCCUGUAGGGUGAAUUGAGAGGCUAUGCACACCAAUCAUUAGAUAUAAAAGGAUUGAAUUUGUGC